CCUACGGGAGGCUGCAGUGAGGAAUAUUGGUCAAUGGGCGCUAGCCUGAACCAGCCAAGUAGCGUGAAGGAUGACUGCCCUACGGGUUGUAAACUUCUUUUAUAAGGGAAUAAAGUGCGGCACGUGUACUGCUUUGCAUGUACUUUAUGAAUAAGGAUCGGCUAACUCCGUGCCAGCAGCCGCGGUAAUACGGAGGAUUCGAGCGUUAUCCGGAUUUAUUGGGUUUAAAGGGUGCGCAGGCGGAAUGUCAAGUCAGCGGUAAAAUUUUGGGGCUCAACCCCGUCGUGCCGUUGAAACUGGCGUCCUUGAGUGAGCGAGAAGUAUGCGGAAUGCGUGGUGUAGCGGUGAAAUGCAUAGAUAUCACGAAGAACUCCGAUUGCGAAGGCAGCAUACCGGCGCUCAACUGACGCUCAUGCACGAAAGCGUGGGUAUCGAACAGGAUUAGAUACCCGGGUAGUC
rnacentral:rRNA from 1 species